rnacentral:rRNA from 1 species
CCCUUAGAUGUCCUGGGCUGCACGCGCGCUACACUGAUGUGUCCAGUAAGCACCUAACCUCUUCCGAAAGGAACGGGUAACCUUUGCAAAGCACAUGGUGAUGGGGAUAGAUUAUUGCAAUUAUUAGUCUUGAACGAGGAAUUCCUAGUAAGCACAAGUCAUCAGCUUGUGUUGAUUACGUCCCUGCCCUUUGUACACACCGCCCGUCGCUCCUACCGAUUGAAUGUUCCGGUGAGCUCUUCGGACUGCGCGGUCUGCAGUUUCUGCGUUCCGUGCGGAAAGUUGCGCAAACCUUAACAUUUAGAGGAAGGAGAAGUCGUAACA